GUCAGGAGUGGUGGUGCACACCUGUAAUCCCAGCUACUUGUGAGACUGAGGCAGGAGGAUUGCAGGUUCAAAGCCAGCCUCAGUAACUUACACCCUCGGCAACUUAGUGAGACCCUGCUUCAA
rnacentral:sRNA from 1 species